UGAGCCACAGUGAUGUUAUUAGGGAAUGAGUGAGUGUAUGGCAGAGCAGGGAGGUGAAUGAGGUCAAACAGAGCUGGUUCUGCGUGUCCAGCACCAGAGCUGGUCUGCUGCUGAACCUGGGGACUAAGCACAAACUCCUUUGCUACUGUGAUCUGCUUUAAGAGUAGUGAACUGAUUUCAAUCCACCACUGAAGGCAGAUUUUGAGGUAGCUAUUUGUAUUUUAAGUUUCACAGAAGUUGAGAAGAAACAAAAGUUACAGCUGCAGUAUAAUGGGAAGUCCUGGGAGAGUGUAUCAGACAAUGGCUGCAAGAUGUUUCCAGGAUGGCAGGUGCAGCCAUGCUAAGGAAAAUUACUUAUCUGGGAUCUGUCUUGGCCCAUCAAAGCAAACAAAUCUGGCUGCUGGACAAAGAAAGAGCAAGUUCUGCAGAACCUCAUCCCACCUUCCAAUACAGAAAGCAACAGCUGUGCUGCUCAAUUCCAAAAACAAGCUAAAGCAAAACGGAAUUAACUGUCUCUGGUUUAAAAAGAAGAGGUCCCUCAGUCAGCAGCAAGAAAUCCAGCUUACCUGAAGCAGUGUUUCUGAUCUCCAGAUCUCCU